rnacentral:lncRNA from 1 species
CCUCUGUUUGUAGGGAAGUCUGUGAGAGCUCAGUCCUGCUGUGCCUGAAGAAGAGGUUCCACUGCAAUCUCAUUUAUACUUACAUUGGGCAAAUUUUGAUUUCUGUGAAUCCUUUCAAAGACCUCAGUAUCUACUCUGAAGAUGUGGCUACAGAGUACCAGCAAGGGACUCUCUCAAAAAAUGCCCCGUAUGUUUUUCUUUCUCAAAUAACUUUCUGAACCCUGUUCUGUUUGUGCUCCAGAAAGUAUUUUAUUUUCCUCCAGU